rnacentral:misc_RNA from 1 species
GAUGAAGAACGUAGCGAAAUGCGAUAAGUAAUGUGAAUUGCAGAAUUCAGUGAAUCAUCGAAUCUUUGAACGCACAUUGCGCCCGCCAGUAUUCUGGCGGGCAUGCCUGUUCGAGCGUCAUUUCAACCAUCAAGCCCCCCGGCUUGUGUUGGGGACCUGCGGCUGCCGCAGGCCCUGAAAACCAGUGGCGGGCUCGCUGUCACACCGAGCGUAGUAGAUUUUCAUCUCGCUCAGGGCGUGCUGCGGGUUCCGGCCGUAAAAAGCCUUAUUUACCCAAGGUUGACCUCGGAUCAGGUAGGAAGACCCGCUGAACUUAAGCAUAUCAAUAAGCGGAGGA